rnacentral:rRNA from 1 species
CUCGGAAUUACUGGGCGUAAAGCGCACGUAGGCGGCUUUCUAAGUCGGGGGUGAAAUCCUGGAGCUCAACUCCAGAACUGCCUUCGAUACUGGAGAGCUUGAGUCCGGGAGAGGUGAGUGGAACUGCGAGUGUAGAGGUGAAAUUCGUAGAUAUUCGCAAGAACACCAGUGGCGAAGGCGGCUCACUGGCCCGGUACUGACGCUGAGGUGCGAAAGCGUGGGGAGCAAACAGG